CUUCCCUGCAAGGAGUAUGACGCUAAAAUUGGUGGUUUCCUCCUGCAUUUGCUUCAUCAGCAUGGCUGUUUUAAUUGCACUGGCAGCAGCCUGCAUCUUGUAAAUCUUCACACCACAAUUCCCAUGCACCCUGCUUCUUAAGCUUUUCGUAGGCUGAACAAAAGCCAACCACCAAUUCUUCUUUUAGACUUUGCUAUUUUAAACUGUUUUUCAGCAUUUGUUAGAUUUCCUUUAAAAUCUCCCAUUUUGUGUGGGUUCAGACCUCACCAUCCAUUAUUCUAACUCAUUUUCCCCUGCUUCAAGAUGGUAAAAUAAAAGCUGCCACCCUUUCAGUCCAUCUCUUCUAUUUCCCUAUAUUACUGCUUUGGUCACCAGAUGCCCAGGUACUUAGUGAUCCUUCAUCACCCAGCUCACUUAGGUAUUUUAAAAUAUGUUACAGCCAAAUCAUGGUAGUGACAUAAGGAGUUUUAAUAUAUUUUCUCUGACUUUUGGUGAUCCCCAGUCAUCUAGGACGCUAAGAGUGAAUUACAGCCGGAUCAGAAGACUGAAUCAAAGAGCAUCUCUUAUCUCCCCUUGGAUUUUCGGUGAUCCUUGAUAGCAGAGAAAGCUGGGUCACAGCUAGAUCAUGACAGUAAGGAGAAAUGGAGAUGGGAGUAUUGGAGAUAAAACAAGGAGUCGGAACACUGAAAAGAAGAGAUGCUUUUGGAAGAGCAAAGUGGCCAGUUCUGGUUUUGUCUAGUUAAUCGUCCUCCAGCAAAGCCUGACUCUCUGUUAAUGCCAACAGUCGUAGCUGGAUGGAGGAUGCUAGUGAGUGUAUAAUGGCAGCUGCUUUUCCCUUGCAGUCUUUAUUACAAAGAUCUCAUUCUUGCCUCUGUGGGACCUAUUGAAAUCCUGAGUAUGGCAAGUGCCGGAGAACCAACCACUGUUGACAACUGGCCGGUUGUAGCAGGACACAAAAACCUUCAUUGCUUGGAAUUGGGUGAUUCAAGUAGCCUCCACGAUGUCUUGUCUUGGGCUGAACCAUCUACUGAGGGGAAAAGAAACAGAGGCACAGAUUUUAUGUUGGAAGAAGCUUUGAAGUAGUCUAUUAUAUGAAGAAUCAUCUGCAGACCCUUAAACAGGCGUAUUAUGCGAUAGACCUGCGGUGACACCUUUCCUCCCUCUGGCUGCAUAUCCAGGCAGCAGCACCCAACGGAGCCAGAGGAACAGAAAAGGCCGUGGCAGCUGAAAGGGAGAGGCAGGACAGACGGAAAAGCUGGAGAGAUUUGGUGGAAAAGGGAAACAAAACCAAGGGCAGGGAAGAUGAGGCAUCCUCAGCCCAGAAGUAAAGGAGAAACAGGUUGUGAAAGCGGUCUAAAAAGAAGCAAGAGUGAACUGCGCUGCAGAGCCUACGCAUCGUUCCUCUGUUGAUGGCUCGGGUCCGUGGCUUUUCUGCUGUCUCUAAAUCCUCUAUCUGGUGCAUGAUAUCAUUUUCCAGGCUGUGUCUUCACCUGGCAUGGAACAUUGACCACCAAGCCUCUGUCCUUUCCAACUAGCAAGUCACCUAGGACCAGCCACUUGGUAUUUUGAUCCCUUUCCCACGUUUCUUACCUGCUCAGUGCAGGAUUUGGCAUUUGCUUAUGUUAAACUACUUGAAGUUCUUGUCAGCCUGCCCAUCUUUCUCGCCCUCCACCAUAUCAACUGUUCCCCCCCCCCCCGUGUUUGAUACAAUCAGACAUUCUCUAUAAAGGUGCAUUUCUCCCAUUUCCCCUUUUGGAAGUGAAGGCAUUUAAACAGCCCUGGCACCAGCACCGACACCUUUAGGAACGCAUCUUGUAACCGGCUACUUUUUGAGCACGCCACGACGAGGAGGUCGAUAGAUCUGGUCAAAAGAAUUUCGUCCUGUGCCUACGGCUGCACCAACGCUCUAUUACAGCCCAG
ensembl:lncRNA